CUCACCACGCAACGAGGCGUAAAUCCACCGCCAGAGCGGAUUAAAGCCACUCUCCUCUCUGUCUCUCUCUCUCUCUCUCUCUCUCUCCGUCUCCAUUCCAUCCCCAACUUCCACCUCUUUUUGGCGCUUACUUCGUUGCUUCCGAUCGCCGAUCUCCCUCUCUCUCCGCUCCGCUGCUACAGGCUGGAUACGAAACAAACGCGCACGGUGCACGUCAGAUCUCGCGGCAUGCCCCUCUGCGAUCUUAUUUGCUCCCCUUUGAGUUGACCUAAAAUGACAAACGAUCUCUUUGUUUCGAGCAAACCUAAGAAGGGUGGCUGCCUCCUGAUCGAUCUCAAAUGGGACAAAUGAUUUUUGUCAACGAUCGGACAAGUUUUUGAGCUGAAAGAUUUGGAAAGCUUCUUUUUUUUAACGACAAUUAAUCACCGCCGGCGAUGUCGACCCACUCCCCUUGCGCCGCGUGCAAAUGCCUGCGGCGAAAGUGCACGCCGGGGUGUGUCUUCGCGCCGUACUUCCCGCCGGACCAGCCGGGGAAGUUCGCGUGCGUGCACAAGGUUUUUGGGGCGAGCAACGUCGGGAAGCUCCUCAGCGAUCUGCCCCCUGCGCAGAGGGAGCACGCCGCCAACUCGCUGGCCUACGAGGCGCAGGUGAGGAUGCACAACCCCGUUUAUGGUUGCGUCGGAUACAUCUCGCUCCUCCAGCAAAAGCUCAAGCAGGUCCAGCGCGAGCUCUACGAGGCAAAGAAAGAGCUUUCCACCUACAUUGGCGCCGCCACGCUCGGUCCGCUCUUCGCCCAUGGUCCCCCCUGCUCCGACGCGCCCUACGGCGUUCCAGUGAUGAGUGUUGGCAUGGGCCUCGGUCUCGCCGCACAGGAAGCGGCGGCGGCUCAUCACCACGCCCAAAAUUUUAUUCAUGAACCUCCGCCGCCGCCUCCGCCGCCCGAGCCGAUGGAGACUCAGCAAAUGGCCAUGGCCGUGGUAGCAGAUAUGACGACGAGGUACGAGCAGCAACAGGUGCUCACGAGAUUUAACGAUAGAAGGGGAUUUGAGCUGAUGGGUGAUGGCACGUUAAUGGCGUUUGUUCCGUCGCAAGAAUCCGAAAGUGCAUUUGUGCAACAACAUUAUUACACCGAGUAGCAGCUUGCAAGAAAUAAGAAAGAUAGAUUCUUAGUUUGCUAGCUACUUCCAGAAAUCUUCUUCUCUUGAAUUAUUCCCAAUAACCAGAGAUCGAUCAUCUUGAAAGGACCACUUUAAUUCUCCCACAGUACUGGUUGAUGUGGUGGCACAGCAUUAAGGAUAGCCGAAGGAGACAAGCGACAACUAGUAGGGGGGAAAAGUUCUAUCUGUAAAGGAGAACAGGCAAAAGGAAUGACGCUGCAGGGGCUGUGAUGCAGUUGUGGCAGUGCCCCGCUCAUUAAUUUUCUCUGUUGUGAGCUUACCUACUUCUUUUUGCUGCCUUAUACAAAAACCAUUUGGCACUCAUCCUGUCUCUGAGCCUUCUUUUGGCACACUUCGGUUAUGUCACCUUCUGAUUCUUCUGUUUCA